GAUGAACGCUGGCGGCGUGCUUAACACAUGCAAGUCGAACGGGGAUUACUUUAUUGAAACUUCGGUCGAUUUAAUUUAAUUCUAGUGGCGGACGGGUGAGUAACGCGUGGGUAACCUGCCUUAUACAGGGGGAUAACAGUCAGAAAUGACUGCUAAUACCGCAUAAGCGCACGGAACCGCAUGGUUCUGUGUGAAAAACUCCGGUGGUGUGAGAUGGACCCGCGUUGGAUUAGCCAGUUGGCAGGGUAACGGCCUACCAAAGCGACGAUCCAUAGCCGGCCUCAGAGGGUGAACGGCCACAUUGGGACUGAGACACGGCCCAGACUCCUACGGGAGGCAGCAGU
rnacentral:rRNA from 1 species